rnacentral:rRNA from 2 species
CCUUCGGGGUACUCGAGCGGCGAACGGGUGAGUAACACGUGAGCAACCUGCCCUAGGCUUUGGGAUAACCCUCGGAAACGGGGGCUAAUACCGAAUAUUCACUCAUGGGCGCAUGUUUGUGGGUGGAAAGUUUUUCGGCUUGGGAUGGGCUCGCGGCCUAUCAGCUUGUUGGUGGGGUAAUGGCCUACCAAGGCGACGACGGGUAGCCGGCCUGAGAGGGCGACCGGCCACACUGGGACUGAGACACGGCCCAGACUCCUACGGGAGGCAGCAGUGGGGAAUAUUGCACAAUGGGCGGAAGCCUGAUGCAGCGACGCCGCGUGAGGGAUGACGGCCUUCGGGUUGUAAACCUCUUUCAGCAGGGACGAAGCGCAAGUGACGGUACCUGCAGAAGAAGCGCCGGCCAACUACGUGCCAGCAGCCGCGGUAAGACGUAGGGCGCGAGCGUUGUCCGGAUUUAUUGGGCGUAAAGAGCUCGUAGGCGGCUUGUCGCGUCGACUGUGAAAACCCGUGGCUCAACUGCGGGCCUGCAGUCGAUACGGGCAGGCUAGAGUUCGGUAGGGGAGACUGGAAUUCCUGGUGUAGCGGUGAAAUGCGCAGAUAUCAGGAGGAACACCGGUGGCGAAGGCGGGUCUCUGGGCCGAUACUGACGCUGAGGAGCGAAAGCGUG